rnacentral:lncRNA from 1 species
UAUUUUUGGUCAAAGCCUCUUCAGGGAACUUCUGCUGCUCAUCCAGGUUGGGUCAGGAAAGAGCCCAGUCAACACAUCUGCACUUCUGCCCUAUGGCUCUGCCUGGGAGACAAUCAAAUGAGAGGGAUUGGGUAUUCAUCUAGUUUAAUAACUCCUAAUCUCCCUAGGGGAACAAAGUAUAAGAGGAAAGGGAUCAGCUAAUUAUAGUUAAUUGUAUUAGCCUAAAGAGAGUGAUUAACAUAAUUAAGAUAGCCUUGUGACUAGUAGCUCUAUGGCAGAAAUGUGCUCUUGGAUGCAGUAGGUGAAAAUCAGAUUUAAAAGAAGUAUGGGCUAAAGAAACCUAACGUCUUAAACAGAUUUUUUUUUUCCAAAUGUGGCAGUAAAAGUGCACAAGAUUGCUGUAAACAUCAAAUGGCCAUAAGCGAGGCACAUUUUGCAGAAAGAAAAAAGGUUAAUGUACUGGAAAAUUUACAGUGUGUGAGCAAUGUGAGAGAGGUAAGCAUACGUGUGUUGUCUGGUAACAGAGCGUUUGGCCCAGGAAACAGCUACUGGUGUACCAAAGGAAGACAAGACAAAACUUGACACUAAGACAGUACUUUCAUUGAAAACACAAGAGAAAAUCUACAAAAUAUGAGAUGCUAUAAGAAUGAAGAAGGUGAUGCCAUGUGAAAGGAUUCCCCAAUGCACUGGAGAAAGGCUUACAAAUAUUUGUAGAAUCCAAGAAAGAAUAUUCCAUUAAUUACUCCUGUUUUAUAUAUGGAAGUAAAAUUUGGAAAUAAAGGAACCUAAAAUGAUAUUUGAAUAUUGCA